rnacentral:rRNA from 1 species
UACGUAGGGGGCAAGCGUUGUCCGGAAUCAUUGGGCGUAAAGAGCGCGUAGGCGGCCCUGUAAGUCCGCUGUGAAAGUCAAGGGCUCAACCCUUGGAUGCCGGUGGAUACUGCAGGGCUAGAGUCCGGAAGAGGCGAGUGGAAUUCCUGGUGUAGCGGUGAAAUGCGCAGAUAUCAGGAGGAACACCAAUUGCGAAGGCAGCUCGCUGGGACGUUACUGACGCUGAUGCGCGAAAGCGUGGGGAGCAAACAGG